AGUGAACGCUGGCGGUAGGCCUAACACAUGCAAGUCGAACGGCAGCACAGUAAGAGCUUGCUCUUACGGGUGGCGAGUGGCGGACGGGUGAGGAAUACAUCGGAAUCUACUUUUUCGUGGGGGAUAACGUAGGGAAACUUACGCUAAUACCGCAUACGACCUACGGGUGAAAGCAGGGGAUCUUCGGACCUUGCGCGAUUGAAUGAGCCGAUGUCGGAUUAGCUAGUUGGCGGGGUAAAGGCCCACCAAGGCGACGAUCCGUAGCUGGUCAGAGAGGAUGAUCAGCCACACUGGAACUGAGACACGGUCCAGACUCCUACGGGAGGCAGCAGUGGGGAAUAUUGGACAAUGGGCGCAAGCCUGAUCCAGCCAUACUGCGUGGGUGAAGAAGGCCUUCGGGUUGUAAAGCCCUUUUGUUGGGAAAGAAAAGCAGCAGGUUAAUACCCCGCUGUUCUGACGGUACCCAAAGAAUAAGCACCGGCUAACUUCGUG
rnacentral:rRNA from 1 species